GCCCACAUAACAUUUAUAUUGUUGGAAUUAGAUCAAGUAUGUAAGUGAAGAGUCACUCAAUUAUUAGUUCCUUGGAUACUGUUAUUUCCUUUAUCUGACCUCAUAGCCCAGGAAUACCCAGCUGUGAUGCUAUGUGUAGCAUCAUUCUACUGGCUUCUGUUAUUUGUGCUUGCCCCUUCUGAUUUAUGUUGCAUGAUAGUCAUGAACACAUUAUUGCAGAUCUAGCCACCAUUGGUGUUUUAUUAAACUGUAACCUGAUGAUAUGAAAAAUCCAUUUUUAAACAAAAUUUAUUACCCAUAUCUACAUUGAACAUAUAUCUCUUAGUUCAUCUAACAUGUUAUUUCAGGUGUGUGUACUUAUGUCUAGAGACUGCAUUGUGUGCUCCUUUCAGAGACAUUGGGAAGAAAGUUCUGGAUAUAUAGGGAAUCUCUACUAUAGUGAAAUUAGAAUUAUAGAAUUAAUAGAAUCAAGACAGUUUCAUGUGAUUCUGCUUUCUGUUUUUUCCCUUUCUGUUUCUAUACACUGUACAAAUUAAGGUACAUCUUAGUAAGAGGCAUAUAAAAUACACUGAGAAGAAUGCACUCCCAGGCAAUCCAGAAUGGAUAUGUUGAAGAGAAAUGUGCUGUCAUAGGGGUUGCUGACCUAACUGUGGACUUUGAGGAGUGGCAGGACCUGGACAAUGCUCCGAGGACUCUGUACACAGAUGUGAUGAUGGAGAGCUACAGCAGCCUGCUGUCCUUGGAUCCUGAAGUCAAGCUGUUGUCUUUCAAGAAACCUGACUUACUGAGUUGACAAAGUCCUACAUUAACAGGAUUGUGUGUUACCAAACCUGAGGUGGUCUUCAAGAUGGAGUGAGGAGCAGAGCCAUGAUGGUAGAAGAAGUUCUCAAUCAGAGCCUCCCAGGUCAGUCAGCACCUACUGGGUAGGAGGCUGGGCCAGGAGAGCUCAGCAGGUGUUCAUUGUGUAGAGCUCCUUUCACUGUUUCCCCAGGUUCCAGCCAUAAGUACAGCUGAUUUCAAGCAUUAGACACAGGCAUUCCACUGCCUCUAAUGAAGGUUCCUCUGUAUUCAUCCCUCAUCCUUCUUUUUUCUAGUUGAUGGACAUUUUCUUAGACUUACCAAGAAUGCAGUCCACUUAAGGCCCUGCUAAGGCUUUUUUCUAGGUUAGGUACAUUCUCUAAAUCCUAACUUGUCCUUUUCUCCACUUUCAUACAUAUAUUCCUUCAGGAAUUGACAAAUAAAUAAAUAUAUAAGGGGUCCA
rnacentral:lncRNA from 1 species